GCAGAAAGUGCAGAAAGCAUUAUUGCAGUCGGAUGUCCAUGCAAAAUCUGAUAAAAGUCCUGUAACAGUAGCUGUGUAGCACUUGGUGUAUGAUAAAAUUAGUGACGAGGUAUGUUAUAAACGGUAAUGACUUUUACAAAUAAUCCCACGAUUGAAUUUAUUACAGGGUAGUGGAGAGAGGUUUUCUCCAAUUAAAUGAAGCAGAGCCUGGUCUACUUGAACAAGAACUUAAACUAACUGCUUGUAGAGUAACAUCUGUGCAGUGUCUUGUUCUUUAAAGGAGGUGAGAUUAUUGUAUACUUGUUGUAGCAAAUUAGUGACCCCGUCAAAUUUCUUGGAAGGCACUGAAUAUUAGAUGAGAAUGAUAUUAAGAAGCAAGAGGAAAAGCUAGUGGCAGGUGCUUCAUUUCUUGUGAAAAUGGUCUGCAAGGAGGAGGAAAGUGGUGGUGCCUUGGUGUUUCAAUGUUGAAGUUGAUGGCUUGGUUCCUUUGUUUUGUGUUUUUGAAAUCCACAAUUGGUUGAAUUCUUGUCUUACCUUUGAAGCUAGAAAGGACUAUUACAAUUCAAAAGGGCUACCUUUCUCUUUGGCUUG